GGACGAACGCUGGCGGCGUGCUUAACACAUGCAAGUCGAACGAUGAACCUGGAGCUUGCUGGGGGAUUAGUGGCGAACGGGUGAGUAACACGUGAGUAACCUGCCCUUGACUCUGGGAUAACCUCCGGAAACGGAAGCUAAUACCGGAUAUGACGUGCGGAGGCAUCUCCUGUACGUGGAAAGAAUUUCGGUCAAGGAUGGACUCGGCCUAUCAGGUAGUUGGUGAGGUAAUGGCUCACCAAGCCUACGACGGGUAGCCGGCCUGAGAGGGUGACCGGCCACACUGGGACUGAGACACGGCCCAGACUCCUACGGGAGGCAGCAGUGGGGAAUAUUGCACAAUGGGGCAAGCCUGAUGCAGCAACGCCGCGUGAGGGAUGACGGCCUUCGGGUUGUAAACCUCUUUUAGUAGGGAAGAAGCGAAAGUGACGGUACCUGCAGAAAAAGCACCGGCUAACUACGUGCCAGCAGCCGCGGUAAUACGUAGGGUGCGAGCGUUGUCCGGAAUUAUUGGGCGUAAAGAGCUCGUAGGCGGUCUGUCGCUGCUGUGAAAACCCGAGGCUCAACCUCGGGCCUGCAGUGGGUACGGGCAGACUAGAGUGCGGUAGGGGAGAAUGGAAUUCCUGGUGUAGCGGUGGAAUGCGCAGAUACAGGAGGAACACCGAGGCGAAGGCAU
rnacentral:rRNA from 1 species